rnacentral:lncRNA from 1 species
AAUCAACGUCCUUAUAUAUUAAAAUAGAUGGUAGCAGAAGCUAUAACUGAAACAUGACUUGUUUUCUUUCAUUCGUACCGAAAAGUACAUAGGCUUGGAAGACAGCAGGAACUCGAUGGUUGUGCCCCUAACUGGGCAAACAAAGGUCCAAGGAAAUUCCCCAUCCAAAGAGAAAGAAGCUACAAGUUUAUCAACUCAAACCAUGAUCAGAACCCAGAAGAAGGACAAACAGAAGAAGAUAUGGAAACAUGGAAAAUAUCAUUAACACUGGUGUUCCAUUCAUUCAUUGACAAGCAGAAGGUAUCUCUAACUGAGGUCUAGUAGCUCGGUUAUGGCAUCAGUAAAU